CAGGGAUUACCUCAGUAACGGCGAGUGAAGCGGUAACAGCUCAAAUUUGAAAUCUGGAGCCUUCGGCUUCCGAGUUGUAAUUUGAAGAGGAUGCUUCGGUUGUGGCCCUGGCCUAAGUUCCUUGGAACAGGACGUCGUAGAGGGUGAGAAUCCCGUACACGGCUGUGGGCCUACUUCCAUGUGAAGCUCCUUCGAAGAGUCGAGUUGUUUGGGAAUGCAGCUCAAAAUGGGUGGUAAAUUUCAUCUAAAGCUAAAUAUUGGCGAGAGACCGAUAGCGCACAAGUAGAGUGAUCGAAAGAUGAAAAGCACUUUGAAAAGAGAGUUAAACAGUACGUGAAAUUGUUGAAAGGGAAGCGCUUGCAAUUAGACUCACUUUCGGUUGAUCAACGUUCCUUCUGGUUCGUGCACUCUGCCGUUUGUGGGCCAGCAUCAGUUUGGGUGACGGGAUAAAGGCAUCGGGAAUGUGGCUCUCUUCGGGGAGUGUUAUAGCCCGGUGCGCAAUACCGCCUAUCCAGAUUGAGGUCCGCGCUUUUGCUAGGAUGCUGGCUUAAUAAUUGUAAGCGACCCGUCUUGAAACACGGACCAAGGAGUCUAACAUCUAUGCGAGUGUUUGGGUGUCAAACCCAUACGCGAAAUGAAAGUGAACGGAGGUGGGAGUCUUCGGAUGCACCAUCGACCGAUCCUGAUGUUCUCGGAUGGAUUUGAGUAUGAGCAUAGCUGUUGGGACCCGAAAGAUGGUGAACUAUGCCUGAAUAGGGUGAAGCCAGAGGAAACUCUGGUGGAGGCUCGCAGCGGUUCUGACGUGCAAAUCGAUCGUCAAAUUUGGGUAUAGGGGCGAAAGACUAAUCGAACCAUCUAGUAGCUGGUUCCUGCCGAAAUUUCCCCUCAGGAUAUA
rnacentral:rRNA from 1 species